GGCGAGUGGCGAACGGGUGAGUAAUACAUCGGAACGUGUCCUGGAGUGGGGGAUAGCCCGGCGAAAGCCGGAUUAAUACCGCAUACGCUCUGUGGAGGAAAGCGGGGGAUCUUCGGACCUCGCGCUCAAGGGGCGGCCGAUGGCAGAUUAGCUAGUUGGUGGGGUAAAGGCCUACCAAGGCGACGAUCUGUAGCUGGUCUGAGAGGACGACCAGCCACACUGGGACUGAGACACGGCCCAGACUCCUACGGGAGGCAGCAGUGGGGAAUUUUGGACAAUGGGGGCAACCCUGAUCCAGCAAUGCCGCGUGUGUGAAGAAGGCCUUCGGGUUGUAAAGCACUUUUGUCCGGAAAGAAAACCUCCGUCCUAAUACGGUGGGGGGAUGACGGUACCGGAAGAAUAAGCACCGGCUAACUACGUGCCAGCAGCCGCGGUAAUACGUAGGGUGCAAGCGUUAAUCGGAAUUACUGGGCGUAAAGCGUGCGCAGGCGGUUCGCUAAGACCGAUGUGAAAUCCCCGGGCUUAACCUGGGAACUGCAUUGGUGACUGGCGGGCUAGAGUAUGGCAGAGGGGGGUAGAAUUCCACGUGUAGCAGUGAAAUGCGUAGAGAUGUGGAGGAAUACCGAUGGCGAAGGCAGCCCCCUGGGCCAAUACUGACGCUCAUG
rnacentral:rRNA from 1 species